rnacentral:rRNA from 1 species
GGCUCAGGGUAAACGCUGGCGGCGUGCCUAAAACAUGCAAGUCGCACGGGACUUCGGUCCAGUGGCAGACGGCUGAGUAACGCGUGGGUGACGUACCUGUUGGUGGGGAAUAACUGCCCGAAAGGGUGGCUAAUACCGCGUAAGUCUGUUGAGUCGUUUUGACAGGGAAAGCAGCAAUGUGCCGAUGGAGCGGCCCGCGUCCGAUUAGCCAGUUGGUGGGGUAACGGCCUACCAAAGCGACGAUCGGUAGCUGGUCUCAGAGGAUGAUCAGCCAGACUGGGACUGAGACACGGCCCAGACUCCUACGGGAGGCAGCAGUUAGGAAUUUUGGGCAAUGGGCGCAAGCCUGACCCAGCAACGCCGCGUGGGUGACGAAGGCCUUCGGGUUGUAAAGCCCUUUUCUCAGGGAAGAUGAUGACGGUACCUGAGGAAGAAGCACCGGCUAACUACGUGCCAGCAGCCGCGGUAAUACGUAGGGUGCAAGCGUUGCCCGGAUUUAUUGGGCGUAAAGGGCGCGUAGGCGGUGAGACACGUUUGUUGUGAAAUCGCCCGGCUCAACUGGGCGGGGUCAGCGAAUACGGUCUCACUUGAGCAAGCUAGGGGGCAAUGGAAUUCCCGGUGUAGUGGUGGAAUGCGUAGAUAUCGGGAGGAACACCAGUGGCGAGGGCGGUUGCCUGGGGCUUUGCUGACGCUGAUGCGCGAAAGCGUGGGGAGCGAUCCGGAUUAGAUACCCGGGUAGUCCACGCCGUAAACGAUGUCGACUAGGUGUCGGGGGUAUCGACCCCCUCGGCGCCGCAGCUAACGCAUUAAGUCGACCGCCUGGGGACUACGGCCG